UACAGAGGGUGCGAGCGUUGUCCGGAAUCACUGGGCGUAAAGGGCGCGUAGGCGGUCCUUCAAGUCUCUCGUGAAAUCCCUCGGCUUAACUGAGGACGUGCGGGAGAUACUGCUGGGCUUGAGUCCGGAAGAGGGUGGUGGAAUUCCCAGUGUAGCGGUGAAAUGCGUAGAUAUUGGGAGGAACACCGGUGGCGAAGGCGGCCACCUGGGCCGGAACUGACGCUGAGGCGCGAAAGCGUGGGGAGCAAACGGG
rnacentral:rRNA from 1 species